ensembl:snoRNA F54E4.17 ncRNA
GAUAAAUGUCAAAUAGAAAAGUGUCCUCAUUAUUUGUAAACUGUGUUUCUUCUAAUGACAAUGUCAAGCAAAUU